UCCUUGGAGGAAUAGUGGUUAGACCUCAGCACGCUCACUGCUCUCCUAGGUUCGAUUCCCGGCCAGGGAA